ACGAAGGGUGCAAGCGUUGUUCGGAAUCAUUGGGCGUAAAGCGCGCGCAGGCGGAUUGAUAAGUCAGGUGUGAAAUCUCGAGGCUCAACCUCGAAACUGCGCCUGAAACUAUUAGUCUAGAGUGUCGGAGGGGGCAGGGGAAUUUCACGUGUAGGGGUAAAAUCCGUAGAGAUGUGAAGGAACACCGGAGGCGAAGGCGCCUGCCUGGACGACUACUGACGCUGAGGCGCGAAAGCGUGGGGAGCAAACAGGA
rnacentral:rRNA from 1 species